UACGUAGGGUGCGAGCGUUAAUCGGAAUUACUGGGCGUAAAGCGUGCGCAGGCGGCGCGUUAAGACAGGUGUGAAAGCCCCGAGCUUAACUUGGGAAUUGCGCUUGUGACUGGCGUGCUGGAGUGUGGCAGAGGGAGGUGGAAUUCCACGUGUAGCAGUGAAAUGCGUAGAGAUGUGGAGGAACACCGAUGGCGAAGGCAGCCUCCUGGGCCAGCACUGACGCUCAUGCGCGAAAGCGUGGGGAGCAAACAGG
rnacentral:rRNA from 1 species